rnacentral:rRNA from 1 species
GGACGAACGCUGGCGGCGUGCCUAACACAUGCAAGUCGAACGGAGUCAAGAAGCUUGCUUUUGACUUAGUGGCGGACGGGUGAGUAACGCGUGAGUAACCUGCCUCUGAGAGGGGAAUAACGUUCUGAAAAGAACGCUAAUACCGCAUAACGUAUCGAAGCCGCAUGACUUUGAUACCAAAGAUUUUAUCGCUCGGAGAUGGACUCGCGUCCGAUUAGUUAGUCGGUGAGGUAACGGCUCACCAAGACCGCGAUCGGUAGCCGGACUGAGAGGUUGAUCGGCCACAUUGGGACUGAGACACGGCCCAGACUCCUACGGGAGGCAGCAGUGGGGGAUAUUGCGCAAUGGGGGCAACCCUGACGCCAGCAACGCCGCGUGAAGGAUGAAGGUUUUCGGAUUGUAAACUUCUUUUAUCAGGGACGAAAUCUGACGGUACCUGAUGAAUAAGCUCCGGCUAACUACGUGCCAGCAGCAGC